rnacentral:lncRNA from 1 species
GAUUCAUUUGUUUUAUUUAAUUAGCUGGGCUCUUGUACUCAUUCCCCUGAAACAUGGCAAUGUAGUGUUUAUGGAAGUACAUGUGACCUUGGAGAUAUACUUCUAGCCAUUCCCCUGUCCUAUGAGAAUACAAAAUCCAUAUGGUGCUCUCCAAAAGUAAAGUGUUUAUUCUGCCUUGAUGCCAAAUUAGUUGUCAUUACAUUUGAAUAAAAGGUGAACAGUUUGAGGCAAAAAUCUAAUUAUCGUCUAUUGCUGCUUAUAUUCUUUGUGCAAAUUGAACAUUUACAUUUUUUACCAACAAUGCAGAAGAUCAAAGUACAUCUUUGUCAGUUUUGCUUAUUAUUGCUAUCUAUGCUGGUGUCAUAAACUCUGGUACUGACAGACUGACUGACAGAAUAGCUGGAGAGCUAAUUACUUGAAAUAGUUUUCAUGAAAGCUAUUAAUAAAGGGUUGUCACAAUUACCACAUGUGAAAACAUGGAGAGAGUGCUGUUUUGGAGCACUUUGUUUCUACUGAAAACUUUGUUUCUAUUGAAGAAUGAACACAACUUGACUGAAAUUAUUUACAAAGUUGUAAUGAAUUUUUCAUUAACGAUAAUUCAUUAAGAAAGUGGAUAGCUUACAUUUAAUGAAUGAAAACUUUAAACUUUCCAGCUCAAUAUAUUUCAUUUCAAAAUGCACUUUUAAAAAAUUACCAACGUUAAUCACAAAAAUCUACUUCUAAGCUAAAUAAAGUGUUUGAUUUCUAAGUAGUCAAGUUUCAUUUGAUAUGAACUGGUUGCUUGAAGAAGCACAACUGUUUAAGAUUGAUGCAAAAAAAUUUUUAUCCCCUUUGUAAGCCUACUAAUCAAAUCAAUCAAUACUAUCUUACAAUAGGAUAGUAUUUCAAAGGCUAAGGAUGUUUUUGGAAGAAAUGUUGAUGUUUAAGAAUACAUUUGAUUAAUAGUAAUAAAAUCAAUAUAAAAUUCGAUAGGAAUAGAAGGCUGUAGGAGGCUGUUAAGUAGGUGUUUAAGUUCAGUACUUUAGAACAGCAGUUAGACAUCAAGCAGUUACACAGUUCAUGAUGGUCCACAAAACACCCGCCCCAUACAAAACAGGCCACAAAGCAUUUUCCUGAAUCUUGUAUCAAUUUCAACCCUGAAAGAACUGAGGAUACAAAUCUAAAAAAAACAAACAAACAAACAAACAAAAAAAAAAA